GGUUGCGAUCAUACCAUCACUGAUGCACCGGAUCCCAUCAGAACUCUGCGGUUAAGCGUUCUUGGCGAGAGUAGUACUAGGAUGGGUGACCCCUGGGAAGUCCUCGUGUUGCAGCCC
rnacentral:rRNA from 1 species